CGCGAAGGCAGUUGUGGCUCUGAGCGCAUAGGCGAGGCAUUCCUGGGGUUUGCGCCGUAUCCUUUUACAAAGUCCUGGCUUUGGCUGGUGCGACCAAAGAAAGGAAACCGGCGCUUGAGACUUGUCUGGGCUGGCUAUGGUGAAGCAGUGAAACGGUGCAGAAUUGUGUCAAUGAGGCUAGUUCAGUUGUGCAAGAGCAUUUCCUCAAAGUAAGACAGAAGCUUUUAGUUACGUCAACACCUGCUAAUGUUAGGCUGGCCAGAAAUUUCCUGACAAAUAAUGGGUGAAGGUCGGGCGUGUGGUCGCUCAUGCCUGUAAUCUCAGCGCUUUGGGAUCACUUGAGGUCAGGAGUUCGAGACCAGCUUGGCCAACUAGGCGAAACCCCAUCUCUACUGAAAGUACAAAAAUUAGCCGUGUGUGGUGGCGCGCAUCUGUAAUCCCAGCUACUCUGGAGGCUGAGGCAGGACAAUCGCUUGAACCCAGGAGGCAGAGGUUGCAGUGAGCUGAGAUCACGCCACUUAAAAGAAACGAAACUUUGCUGGUGACCAUGUGGUGAUGAAACUGAGCGUUUUGGAGCGCAGCAAGGUGACUCCCCAUGUAAUUAGUAUAGACAGAGAGUUUGUGCUCUAAAGGUUAGAAAUAAAUGUUUUCGGCCUGGUGGCUCAUGCCUGUAAUCCCAGGACUUUGAAAGGCUGAGCCAGGCGGAUCACCUGAGGUCAGGGUUCGAGACCAGCCUGGCCAACAUGGUGAAACCCGUCUCUAUUAAAGAUACAAAAAUUAGCCAGGCGGAAGAAGUCACUUAGCUCUUCGCUGGUUGUCACACGUCCG
rnacentral:lncRNA from 10 species